GAUGAACGCUAGCUACAGGCUUAACACAUGCAAGUCGCGGGGCAGCAUGGGGGUUGCCUGCAAUCCCCGAUGGCGACCGGCGCACGGGUGAGUAACGCGUAUCCAACCUGCCCUUCACCACGGGAUAACCCGGCGAAAGUCGGACUAAUACCGUAUGUUGUCCAUUGACGGCAUCCGAUUUGGACGAAAGGCUUGGCGGUGAGGGAUGGGGAUGCGUCCGAUUAGCCAGACGGCGGGGUAACGGCCCACCGUGGCUACGAUCGGUAGGGGUUCUGAGAGGAAGGUCCCCCACACUGGAACUGAGACACGGUCCAGACUCCUACGGGAGGCAGCAGUGAGGAAUAUUGGUCAAUGGGCGUAAGCCUGAACCAGCCAAGUAGCGUGCAGGAUGACGGCCCUAUGGGUUGUAAACUGCUUUUAUGCGGGGAUAAAGUGGCCCACGUGUGGGCUUUUGCAGGUACCGCAUGAAUAAGGACCGGCUAAUUCCGUG
rnacentral:rRNA from 1 species